rnacentral:misc_RNA from 1 species
UUCGCCUUCGGAAUACAUACACUUUUUUAAUUCUUAAAUAAAAGUUGCUUCUGCCUCAGAUACAGUUCAUGGAUUAGUUGCUCAAGAGAUGCAGAUGCCAUGGGGGCUCUCUGCCACAAAUUUUCAAAGCAUCGAAUAUUAUUGGGGACUGCAAUAUGUGCUAUAUUCCUUUGCCUAACUCUGGUCAACUUGGUUGACAAAUGGGCCCCCAAACAAUCACCUCGUAGAAAACCAAAACGAGUGACUGACCUCUCGGAAAACCAAAGCGCACAGAUUAAAGAAGAAGCUAAUCGUCUGUGGGAAGCAGAAUAUGAAAGUCGAGUGCAGAGAGUGCGUGACGUAUGUGAGAAGGAUGAAAUCGUUGCCAUGCGGCGUAUUUGGCGUGUGGCUGCCAAUCGACGUUUCGGCAAAGAAACUUUUUGUAAAACCAAACUCUGUCCUAUCAUUGUGGAUGAGCAAAAAGUACUUUUCUUUUGCUUCAUACCUAAAGUAGCUUCAACGCUAGUCAAACGUUUUUUUCUAAAUAUUUCAGGCAUUCCUUUGCAUGACGCAGACAAUGACUCUGCGAUACACAUUGUGGCCAAUCAAGCUUUGCGACGUAUCAGUCCCAUGUAUUAUCCAUCAACAACAAUUCAUCGAUUUUUCAAAAUAAUCUUCGUCCGCCAUCCCUUUGAUCGUCUUGUUUCUGCUUUCAGAAGCAAAGCAGAAGCGCCCCGACACGAAGUGCAGUUCUUUUAUGACAGGUACUGGGAUCCCAUUUUGAAGAAACUCAGGCCCAAUGACACAAACUUGAGCCAAAUAACUUUUCAAGAAUUCGUAUGGUAUUUGACGCAUUCGCUGGAAAGAGACUAUGACGAGCACUGGGCUCCUUAUUGGAGUCGUUGUGACCCUUGUCUAGUGGAUUACGAUUUUGUGGGAAAACUGGAUACAGCUGAACAUGAUUUCCCAUAUGCGUUUCAGAAAGUUGGCAUCGAAUCCAGUCCCGACUGGUGGAGUGAUGUCCAUCCUAUUUCGCAUUCAUUAACUUUGCGUUAUUUUUCAUCUGUUCCUGAAGAGGAUAUCCGUAGACUAUAUCGAAUAUAUCGUCUAGAUUUCGAGCUUUUUGGAUAUUCUGUGGACGAAUUUUUACAAGGGAAUCGAUCAAAUAUUUAAUUACUCAUGGAAAUAUUUAUUUAAUUUUACUUCCAUAAUUGUGCAUGAAGUCAACGAAGUAGAUCUUAGAUUUUAAUGCACAUUUUAAAUUCUUUUGGUUACAACAAAACUUCUGCUACCACAUCUCAAAAUCAUUGACCAGAUUUGGACGCAUUCUUAAGAGGACCGGCAUCCUUAUGCAGAUCAAUCAGUGUUUGCUGGAAGGUACCCUGGCAACACUGUGAUAGCAUCUUUACGAAGAUGGUUUUUUAACUUGAAAAAAGAAGCAUCCAUAAAACUGUCACAUCCCUUAUGCAAAUAUGAUUUUAGUUUUUUUGCUUUGAUUAAUAAGGCGAAUAGAAAUCCUAUAUCUAUAAGGACGCCUUGAUGUAAGUUUCUGGCAUUUUUAUGAAAGGUAGUAUUUUUCAGGAUAAAAAUUAACCUGCAUUAAAGUACUGGCACAUUUAUGACAAAGUAUCUUCAUUAAAGUUUCGGCUUUGGAGAACGAUGGCUGAUUAGCAUAAGACUGCUAGCGCUCAUAACUGGAAAUCCUUAUGAAGCGGUCCUUCAGGCUGGGGAUAAACCGAAGAGAACCUCUUUUUAUAAAUAUUCUUAAAAAACCAAGUGUAACCGUUAACAUACUGUUUAAUCUAAUCUUAGGCAUCAUAUAAUUUGACUACAAUCGAUUGCCGAUUUAGCCUUUUGCACCGGUUACACCAGUAUUUUAUGAAGAUAUGGCGUAAAUACAGAGUAGACUUCCGAUUUUGCGAACACGGAUGGACCACAAAAAGUGUGCGUUAAAAUAGAAAUUCGAAGUGUGAAUGGCAUAAAAAGGGCCAAACCUCUCAGUAACAAUGCGAUAGAAAGUUUGUAAAUGUGUUUAAUACAUAAACAAGAGUUUCAUAUUAACGCGAGCCUACUGUAUUAUCUAUUUGUUUUCAUGCUUCAAUACUAUGCUUUAAUGUCUGUUAUAUAAAAAUUUACUUAACUGAAGCUGCACAAUCUAUGUGAGUUUUCAUUUGAAGCAGAUUUCAGAUAAUUAACUUAGCACAAGGGAAACAAAUCAAGCAAUAUUUGGUUUUAAUGACACAGACUCAUGCAAUCCUUCUAAAUGUUUUUUAAUCAGCUAAUGAAUGUCAUAUUGAUUAUGCUAAUUUACUAUUUAUUAUAUGUUUUAAAAUUUCUUUUAGGAAAAGGCGAAAGACUAUGUGAUCUUGCAAUUUUUCUGGCCAUAAAAUUAAAUGCUUCUAACAAAAAUACAUCAGCUAUUCUGAAGAAAACAUAUCAUAAAUUUCAAACAUUCAUCAUAUAAAAUAGAGCAGAUAUUUACAAUAUUGCACGUAUAAACUACAUCAAUAAAAAUUACGAAUGAAUGAACUGGUUUUUGAUUUAAUUUACCACAGUAGUUUAUAAGGAACCCGAAUCAACCUGGAAGAGCCAACCGUUACGGAACUAAAAGGACUUUGAAAAUCAUUAUAAUAAUGAUGCAAUAUAGACUUUCUUUUUGAUUGAUAUGGUAUUUCGCAAUGAAGAAUAUUUGUGGUACGAAAACAUACGAUGAUAAAUACCUUUAGUAUUUUAAAACAGCAGAUCAGAAAACGCUGAGGUAAACAUUAAAUGACAUUCUUAAAAGUGCACGAUUAAACUGGGAAAAAAUUAUGAUAAAAAUGAAAUUUCUUAGAAAUUUUACAAAAUAAAUACAAAGAACAUUGCUAAAAUAACGAAGAAUACUAAUGAAU